GACCUUGAAAUACCACCCUUUAAUGUUUGAUGUUCUAACGUUGACCCGUAAUCCGGGUUGCGGACAGUGUCUGGUGGGUAGUUUGACUGGGGCGGUCUCCUCCUAAAGAGUAACGGAGGAGCACGAAGGUUGGCUAAUCCUGGUCGGACAUCAGGAGGUUAGUGCAAUGGCAUAAGCCAGCUUGACUGCGAGCGUGACGGCGCGAGCAGGUGCGAAAGCAGGUCAUAGUGAUCCGGUGGUUCUGAAUGGAAGGGCCAUCGCUCAACGGAUAAAAGGUACUCCGGGGAUAACAGGCUGAUACCGCCCAAGAGUUCAUAUCGACGGCGGUGUUUGGCACCUCGAUGUCGGCUCAUCACAUCCUGGGGCUGAAGUAGGUCCCAAGGGUAUGGCUGUUCGCCAUUUAAAGUGGUACGCGAGCUGGGUUUAGAACGUCGUGAGACAGUUCGGUCCCUAUCUGCCGUGGGCGCUGGAGAACUGAGGGGGGCUGCUCCUAGUACGAGAGGACCGGAGUGGACGCAUCACUGGUGUUCGGGUUGUCAUGCCAAUGGCACUGCCCGGUAGCUAAAUGCGGAAGAGAUAAGUGCUGAAAGCAUCUAAGCACGAAACUUGCCCCGAGAUGAGUUCUCCCUGACUCCUUGAGAGUCCUGAAGGAACGUUGAAGACGACGACGUUGAUAGGCCGGGUGUGU
rnacentral:rRNA from 1 species